CCAAUCGGCGGGGGUGAUACAUAUGUAUAAAUUGCGCGGUAUCAUAUCGAAUCGAGCAGACGAGAAGUAGGGACAUAGAAGCUGAUCAGUGCUGUGACAAUAAGACAAUCUAAGAAACAAAGAUGGCUUCUCUGCAGAAGUACUUCCUGGCAACGAUAUUCCUCGUUGUGUUGCUAAGUGACGUCAUGCUCGUAUCAAGUUUACCCGUCGACCAAGAAUUAGACAUGGAGCAAUUAUUGGAGCGUGCAGCCAUGUUGUCGAAGAGGAAUGACCGUUGUCUGGAUAGAAUCUGUCGCGUCAGGCAACUCUUCGGCGUCAAUCCAUCAAUCGGGAGACGACGAAAGUGAUCUGUUCGCCUGAGCAACGCCUUCUAGUGUCGCAAUAUAAUCACGUGAUGUCAUUCUAACGAGUGAGAUUUAGUGACAAGAUGCGAUCACCUGGUAUACGUCUGAUCACAUGGUGUUCAAUUUGUGACGUUAAUCUGGUGCGGCGACAACGACAACAUCUCUGACCUUGCAUGGCGCAAUUUCGACAUUAUUGUCAUUUUUAUUUUUAUAGUUUCGUACCUCCCCGCUAGGCGACGCUGUUUAGUUUUCAAGGUCACAUUUUCUAUCGUUCCAGCAGAAGCAGAAGAGUUGCAAGAAGCUCUCGAUUCAAUGAAACGAACGAGGAGGCACCGAUGCGGACCAAGAUGCCAACGAUACCGCAAUAUCCUUUCAGUCAACCCAUCAAUCGGAAAACGAAAUUUAUUACGUAGUACGCAAUAGGUGAUGACUUCGGCAAAAAUGUUAUAUCUUUAAAGUGGCUCUGAUUGAACUCAGUUUUUAUAUUUUGAUACGUAUGAUUGAUCUGUUUCGAGCUUCCAUGCAUUCUUAAGGACGGGGCGACUGAUUUCGACUGAAUACACGAUCUGUAUGAUGAGUUCCUGUAAUAUCAAUUUAUGAGACAAGACCACCAUUGAAUAUUCAUAGGUUGGAGGGUCCAGACCUAUCAAUUAGGCGCGAGUAUGUUUUUAACUGUCAAGUGCAUAUUUGGAGAGGUAUUGGAAAGCUAUUUGCCGGGACAAGUCUACAGAUGACAAGAAAUCAUUUGAUGAACAAAUUAAUUCUGAAUUUUGCUCAUUUGGCAGUAGGGGGUGUUUUUAAAGAUUUUUCUACCAGUUUGUUAAAAGAGUGGAAAUAUCAACGUCUCUCCAAUUUGCCCGAUUAUCUAAAAAUGCCCGUGGUCAAUACCGGUUUAAAUUAUACCAGUUACUUCCCGACUGUCCUGAACAUCAUAUCCAAAUUUCAGAUUCACAACCCACGCAGUAAUUGAUGCAAUCCGGUCAAACAUUGACAACUUUUGCUAAAAGGCUUUAAAAUUCUAUGGUGGUCUUGUCUCUUAUCAACAGCCUGUUUCAUUUCGUUUUCAAUAUGGCCCCUUUCGCUCAAAAUGGCGCCCACAAUUAUUCGUCAUGUUCCCAGUUAUAGCCCCUUACCCGGCUUUACCGCUUUGUAGUUAUUUAUGAAAGAAAGUUGCAUGGUGGAUUUCUGAAUAUUGUUGACUUGAUGAUAACCUUGUAUAUAAUAUACUUGUACAAUGAGCAAAAUGUGUGUAUUCCAAAAAGAGACUGCACCGAUUAGGAUUAAGCUCCUCUAGGUAGAUUGGUUCAAACUGCCAAACACUUUGGAAACGAACCGCUUUACCAUCUUAAUUUGCUACAAUGGAUUUCAACAUUCUUGAGAUCACUCUCAAACAUAUUCUGUUAAAUUUCUGGGUUUGUUCGUCGAUGAGCGUGACUAUGUCAUUUAAUAAGGUUGUUUUUUUUCUUAUGUUGACGUUUUAGAACAAGUUAACUAAUCUAUAGCUCCACAGUUUCCGACCAGAAAAACAUCGGUCGGGAAUCAUCGGCAAAACUCGUUCUCUCCAUUGUGAAUUCGGCGAUCUUCGGAUUACAUUCGACUCCAAAAUGCAGUAUGAUAAUUGAUUUGUUUGUCGUUGUACCAAAAUUAUGACAAUUAAAGGAUUUUCUUUACGCUAA